UACGUAGGGGGCAAGCGUUGUCCGGAAUCAUUGGGCGUAAAGAGCGUGUAGGCGGCCCGAUAAGUCCGCUGUGAAAGUCCAGGGCUCAACCCUGGAAUGCCGGUGGAUACUGUCGGGCUCGAAUCCGGAAGAGGUGAGUGGAAUUCCUGGUGUAGCGGUGAAAUGCGCAGAUAUCAGGAGGAACACCAAUGGCGAAGGCAGCUCACUGGGACGGUAUUGACGCUGAGGCGCGAAAGCCAGGGGAGCAAACGGG
rnacentral:rRNA from 1 species